GCGUGGCAAGCUGCGGAGCAGGAUGUCCCUGAGGUGCCUGGCCGGCCUGCGCCCAGCCGUCUGCUCCCCCAGGCCGGCUGCCAAGGCGCUGAGAGCUCGGCUAUGAACACCCACGCCUUACAGCUCAGCCCGUUGAGUAACCCCGUGACUCUUUUUUGAGUCCCGCGUUGGUGGGUGCCACGGGCGGCUGCGCACUUCGCCUCCAUUCGCGUGGCUUAGGCGGCAGAGCUGGGCUUAGAUCCUGCGGCGUGGGGGACGGACGUGCUCCAGAGUCUCCAGAGCCCACGCCCCGAGGCCGCGAGAGACGGGAAAUGCGUGCGCCCGGUAUGCUGACGGCUCUGCGCGGUGCUCCCUGAUUCUGAGGAACUGUCGUCCAAGCUCUCCUUCACGCUCACAUUGACAGCAUCUCCGUUCCC